AUGGACACAGACACAUUCAUGAACUCACACAAACAUGGACACAUCUACACAGUCACACUCAUGGACACACUCAGACACAUGGACACGAUCCUGGACACACAUUUGUGGACACAUAUUCAUGGAUAUACAAACUGGUGGACAAAAUGUUCACACAGACAUGCUCAUGGACACACCCUGGUGGACACGGCUCCAGCUCUCACUCGCCCUGCCUGCCUCUCUCUCGAGACACCUGCCUCUGGAUUGCGGUUGGACAGACAGACAGACCCUUCUCCAGAGGAGCAGGUGAUGGAUUGGCUGGGGAUUUUUCUAGGCCCAGUGGCUCCUAAGGCCUUUUCAGUUCCUCCUUCACAGGCUCAGCUGCAGAGGCAAGAAAGCAAGCCGCCAUGGAAGCGGAAGUGCUGGAACCUAGCUCAGCCCGAGUUGCAAACCUCUGCAGGCCAGUGGGAGUUUUGUAUUUUUUCUUUAAAAGCAACUGGUUGUUUGCCACACCCUCGCUCACUUUGGGGUCGACAGGUGUAUGCCAUUUGGAAAUGAGGCAAACCCACAGGCUGGUUCCUUGGGCUCUUUGCUACCUAAGAAAGAUUACCAAAUAAGUUAACUUUGACUCACUGACCCCUCAGAUCAGCCAAUAAAAUGAAGCGCUUACACCACAACUUGCUCAAGGGGUAGUGCAAUUGAUUUACUUAAAAAUGAUGUCAGGUGGCAAUUGAGCAACAAACUGGCUUCCAGACUGCUUAAUUCAGUUUAACGAGGAGGAAAAACCUUGUAAUUAACGGAAGAGCUUGAAUACUUUGGUGACGCUGUUUUCAAAGUCUGCCAUACCUAAGCUGGGGGGGAGGAGGGGAUAGCUUGCUGAAAACUAUAGGUUCCCAGGCCCCGCUUAGCAAGUCAGGGGCCAGGACUGGGAUUCUGCAUUUAAGAGAAACACCUUUGCAAGUUCUGCUUCUCUGCUCAUCAUCCAGUCUCACUGGACUUUUAGUCAAGCUAUACUCCCAUUUUCUGUUCUAACUCUACAUUGUAUAUAUAUGUCUGGAGUCCUAGGACAGUUUCCCAUCCUAAAGCAACCAGCUUUGAGCUGCUGUUUUCCUGGAGUUUCAUGGUAUAUAUGUACUAAUGCUGGAAUUCUAGUUCAUCACAUUUCUGAACGGAAAAUUCUUCAUCUCCCAGGGCCUGAUUAUAGAGGGCACAGAACUUUCCAGGGAAGUGGGGGAGCGGUUCUGGGGCUCUUCUCUUGCACUUUCCUGCCCCCAGGACAACCAGGACCCCAGUGCAGGAGGCCUGCCAUCUGAAGAAAGGUGACAACCGCCUUUAACAACCAAGGUCCUGGCUUUGAACUGUGUCCAGAUGAGCCUGUCUCCUCCUUUCCACCACCCAGCAUGUCCUGCACAGACGGCUCCUUGAAAUAACAAUCUCGAGAUCACUCGUCUCUUAGAACAAAGAACUGCAAGAGGCUCAUCAAACUUUUUUCUUGGCACACAAGCAUCUGGCAACUAUCCAGGGAAUUUGGGGGUCCUACAGAAUUCAAGUUUACAAACCACCAGAGCAAGGUAGUGUUGGAAUUCAGACUUGGUCCUACUGGUCGGUCUGCUCCUCCCUCUGACCCCACCCUGCAAAGAGCUGCCCCGGGAUGGGGAGCUGUCACAGGGACCACCCCACCCCGCAAAGAGCCGCCCCGGGAUGGGGAGCCGGCAGGGACCAGGCUCGUCUAGGUGCUCUUCCUUGGGGCCGCCUCCCUGAUGAGCCAGAACUCCGUCCCCACCCCCACUCAUGCACAAGCAACAGGGACGCCUCAACCUGCCAUCCAUUAACCACGACACCCGCUGGGACACAGCUCCUAACCUGGUAGAAAGAGAAGGGUCCCAAGAAUGAAGCAAGAUCAACACCCACAUGGCUUUUCCUCCGCUCAGCCUGGUGCUGCAGUUGGACGUGCACCACAAAGGCUGGAUGGGGUGCCCAGCCAGAGAGCCGCGGCUGGGAGGAGGGCAAGCUGGGGCUUCCUGCGUAGAGGAGGGCACUCUUGGCAGCUCCCCGAAGCUUCUGGAAGCUGUCCACGAGCCCAUCACUGGCGGCUCACCCUCCACGCAGAGGUGCCAGCAGCAGAGUCCCCCCCCCACACUCCCGACACCACGUGGGCAUGCCUGUUGCCCUCGGCCCAGCAGCUGCAAGUGACAGCCACGGCCCUCCUGCCUGUCACCGGCGGAAGCAGCCCAGCACUGGCAUCCAGGGCUGAGCGGGAGGGAGGCCCACGUGGGCUCACCCCCAGGAGCAAGGUGAUGAACAGUGAGAUGGGCCCUCACCCCGGAGCCUGGCAUCACCUCCUCCCAUAGGCCAGCCUGGAAGCACGAGCAUGCACAAAGCCUUGAGGACGUGGUCCGCAGUGAUGCCAGGACAGCCCUAUUCAUCCAAGUAGCCAGAGAAGGAAGAGAAAGCAUCCUGCCUCCCUCCUAAUCCCCCAGCACCGAUUCCAAGCUAUUUAAAACCCUCUGAGGUGGGCAUCACCCCCAAAUUGCUCAAAACAAUUCACGUCCACACUACAGGCCAUUAAUCCAGUGGUGUUUAUUCAAGCAGUAUUCACACUCGCUAUCGAAUAACAAGGGCAUCAAGGCCCCCAAGAUGGGGCUCUCACAGCUCCAGCUUCACAGCAGCCUCUCUGGGAGGGGUUUCAAGAACUUAAGAUGAAGGUGAUGGCUGAAAAGGCUUGCCGUUCCCACUCUGGGCCCCCGAGGAGUACAGCCUGCUUCUCGCAUCCUCAUCACCAGACAGACCCAGGCCGGCGGCAGAGGCACAGCUGGGCAGAACUAUGUAAGCUCAGAAGAGGCCACACUGGUCCAUGUUUUCGUACAAAAAAUUUAAUAAAUAUGACUUUUCAAAAUGUAUUGCCAGGAACAACACAAAGAUGCAAGUUUAUGUCCGUAUAACACUAAGAGGACAAUACAAAGGGUCUUCACGGUCUCAAUGGUGAACUAACAAAAUCAGUUUUGAAUAAGCCUUUUUGAACUUAACUUCAUCAUAGCAUUUUGAUUUCCUCACUUAAGGCAGGCAGUGGACUCUGUGGCAAAUCUAAACAGUGAUCUUACUGGACAUUUUACGGUUCAAGUAUUCAACUAGCUUAUUAGAAUACUCCCUAAAUGCAGUAGAUAAAAAAAUCAAAUGAGUCUUACAUAAUGAAUGGUGAAAAGAAAUCAGAAUUUACAAAAUAAGAUUGGUGUGCUUCCAACUUCACACAAUUAAUUUGAUAUUUUUAUUGAUCUUCAACCACUCAUGUUUCGGCUAUGUUUAGUCACAGCUCACCUUGUUCCCUUAAACUGCUAGGCAGCAGAUCAUCUGCCUGUCUCUCUUCAAGUCUAAAAAAAAAAAAAAAAACCUGUUCUAGACUAAUUCUCAAACUGCCUCAGUCGGGGUUUUAAAUAUCUGACGUCGUACGAAAAAAAAAAAAAAUUCCACCAGUAUUCCAGGCACGAAAGGCCAUCCUAUUGUCUUAAACUAUUUUCAAACACCUUAAUUUUGGCUUAUAGGCAACACGUAAUAAGAAAAUAAGUUCAAAAAAAUAAAGCCAUACGCUUACAACGCUAUCAAAAACCUUCAAUUCUAAACACGUACAUAUAAAUAAAAAGGAAUGAUGUCUUAAGGCUCUUGAUUAUUAAGUUAAUAAAUCAAAUAUACACAGUGAUUAAUAAAAAAAGAAUUAUUUACAUAACUAUACAAAAUUCUACUUUUGACACAUUUUUCCUCUUUAAAUUCUUCAUUUUACCAGCAACUGCUGACAUCGAAGUCCCCCCUCCCCCAACAACAAAAUACAAUAAAAAAAAUAAAUAAUAAACUCAUUUGUGAUAGUUGCUGUGGUUCUGAGCUGCAAAGGCACUUUUCAAAUACAGAACUACUUGGACGUCAUCAUAAAACCAAUAUACAAAAACAACUCAAGAGUCAAUAAAUAUAAAUAAAAACUAUGGUCCUAAGACUGCAUCACCAUCGGGACAUCUGGCAGAAAUGGAAGCUGGGCGAUCUCCUGGGAGCCUGAUCCGGAGGUGCGGGCAGGCGGGGGGCGGGGGGCCCGGCAUUUGCAUAGCUGCGGUGCGGUGCCACCCAGCCAACCACAGAAACUACCACUGCCAGUGAAAGCCAGCUUGUCAGAACUUAAAUUAACACGGGACUCUACGCCCGGGACAGCGUGGGGCCGGAGCGCGGCAGACGGGGCGGCUGCGGGAGCGGAUCCCCGGGAGCCCC
rnacentral:lncRNA from 1 species